rnacentral:rRNA from 1 species
UACGAAGGGGGCGAGCGUUGUUCGGAUUUACUGGGCGUAAAGGGCGCGCAGGCGGCUAUCCAAGUCAGGCGUGAAAGCCCCGGGCUUAACCUGGGAGGUGCGUCUGGGACUGGGUGGCUAGAGAUCGGGAGAGGAGAGUGGAAUUCCCAGUGUAGAGGUGAAAUUCGUAGAUAUUGGGAAGAACACCGGUGGCGAAGGCGGCUCUCUGGACCGAUACUGACGCUGAGGCGCGAAAGCCAGGGGAGCAAACAGG